UACAGAGGGGGCAAGCGUUAUUCGGAAUUAUUGGGCGUAAAGGGCGCGUAGGCGGCUUGGCAAGUGGAUGGUGAAAUCCCUCGGCUUAACCGAGGAACUGCCAUCCAGACUGCUUUGCUUGAGGCCGGGAGAGGUGAGUGGAAUUCCCAGUGUAGCGGUGAAAUUCGUAGAUAUUCGCAAGAACACCAGUGGCGAAGGCGGCUCACUGGCCCGGUACUGACGCUGAGGUGCGAAAGCGUGGGGAGCAAACAGG
rnacentral:rRNA from 1 species